CAGUCGCCGCGGGAAUACAGAGGGUGCGAGCGUUAAUCGGAUUUACUGGGCGUAAAGCGUGCGUAGGCGGCUUUUUAAGUCGGAUGUGAAAUCCCUGAGCUUAACUUAGGAAUUGCAUUCGAUACUGGGAAGCUAGAGUAUGGGAGAGGAUGGUAGAAUUCCGGGUGUAGCGGUGAAAUGCGUAGAGAUCUGGAGGAAUACCGAUGGCGAAGGCAGCCAUCUGGCCUAAUACUGACGCUGAGGUACGAAAGCAUGGGGAGCAAACAGGAUUAGAUACCCCCGUAGUCCCUGUCUCUUAUAC
rnacentral:rRNA from 1 species